UCUUGGUGAUGAGAUAAAUGAUAGAUGACGAGUCCGAUUUAAUCCAUUCCAUUCAACAUGCAUGAGGACGAAUCGAGGCAUUUGUCUGAAAGAA